rnacentral:rRNA from 1 species
UACGUAGGGUACAAGCGUUGUCCGGAAUUAUUGGGCGUAAAGAGCUCGUAGGCGGUUUGUUGCGUCUAUCGUGAAAACCUGCAGCUUAACUGUGGGCUUGCGGUGGAUACGGGCAGACUUGAGUUCGGUAGGGGAGACUGGAAUUCCUGGUGUAGCGGUGAAAUGCGCAGAUAUCAGGAGGAACACCGGUGGCGAAGGCGGGUCUCUGGGCCGAUACUGACGCUGAGGAGCGAAAGCGUGGGGAGCGAACAGG